GGCGGGCGCCUCGCGCGGGCAACAUGGAGGCCGGGCCGCCGCUGCGGGGGGAAGGGGCGCUGCCUGUCUCCCGCAGCCGCCUCUCGGCGCCGCGGCUCGCUCCUGUGCAGUCGGCCAGCGCAAGGCUGGCGCAGCGGUGAGUUGGGGUGUCAGGCUGUAGGGCUCAUUGUGUGAGGCCUUCUCCCGCGGCUCGUGGGAUCGCUGUUUUGUGGACCCGUUACCAACGGCGUAAUUGCGCCCCAGGAAUUUUCAUCAGACUGUUGCAGAGCUGUGCUGUUUGCAAAGGACCAGCCCUUUUUUUUUUACUAAAGCCAUUUGUGUGAUGGAGGACAAUAGACGGGUAGAGAGAUAAUUUCUCGUGGCUCGCCAAGAGGUUUUGAAUGACAGAUGAAGUUCAAUCACUGACACAGGAGGUGUAUGUCAACUAUCUAUGCUGCUCUUCC